AUCAACGCCAUGCAGAAAACCAGCUGGUUGCCUAGAGCAGGAUGAGUCUUUAGUGACCCUACCACGGAUUGCCACUUCAUCUUGGGACCCAGUCGAAGAAGAACUCACACAGAGGGAGGUGGCUCAGACAUGGAGAUCAAAAUAAGAGCAACUUUUCCUGUCAACCCUCGGUGGUUGUACUGGAGGCAAUUCCAUCCGCCGCAUGCUGCGGCAAGAUGCAACGCAUGAUGUGCUGAGACAGUACAGCUUGCAUGGAAGAAAAACAAAGAG